CUGCCCUCUCUCAUGAGGGUGCACACUUGGACAGGACUUCACCUUCCCACCUCUUCCCUGGGGGAUGCAUGCUGUUUCUCUCACCGUUUAGUGGCUCAGGCAGGACAGAGAGAAGGCCCCUUUUGGGCUUGUGUCUCGAUAGCAUUCUCCAGCUCAGCCUUGCCAGAGAGGUCAGAGUGCUGUGGGUUCCCCGGCACUUGUCUGGCUGUUAAUACAAUCGAUGUUUUGGUUUCCUUUUUGCUCCUUGUUCUCUGGACACCUUCUCCAUUGGCCAGACUCAGAGGGGCAGAGGGAUGACGUGCUGGUGGCCCUCCCUGGAGCUGUGAUGGUGAAGUCAAAGACUGGCCUUGGGGGACCCAAAUACAGUGGAUUUUAACAGCAAACACUCUAAAGAUCACGGAGGGUGAAUGGGGCCUGGAGAGAUUUAACAACGAUGCAAAACAGUUUGAGGCCGCUAGAGGGAGCGUUGACCCAGUCACUUGCACAGAGUGAGGGAAGACGAACAGGAAGUUUAGUGGUGAAACAUUAUUAGAUACCACUUAGUUUCUGCCACAGUAUGAUGCUGGCAUUAGCCAUGGGAUUCCUGCACAGCUCAAGUGCCCCAUGUGUCUUUUGAGCCUUGAGGAGGAGACUGACAUGGAGAUGCCUUGCCAUCCCCUCUUCCAACGCAACUGAACCUUCCCUGGUUAAGCAAGACAAAUUCCUCCCGCUAUGCUGCCGUGAGCUGCUCACUGAUAAUGACAUGUAGGAGGAACACAGAUGAGAUGAGGCCCACAAGCAGCAGCAGAAGUGUGGCUGGAGAACCUGCAUGGAGCCAGAUCUUAUUCUACCAAACAGCUGGAGC
rnacentral:lncRNA from 1 species